UUUGUCCGUCUCACUUCAGUUGAGUUGAUCUCUGGUGGACAGAGUAGACCAGUGUCCUUUUCUCCUCGCCUUGGCCCAAACCAACAAACCUAUGCUCAGAUUAUCAUCAACCAGAAUGACAAUGCAAAUGGCAUCCUGGAGCUGUCAACAGCCUCUGUGGCUGUGUCAGAGAACUUUACUGGCUCCAUAGUUGAUGUUGUACGCAAAGAAGGCUCUUUUGGAGAGGUGAGUGUGAAGUUUGAGGUGAUAUCAGGCACAGCUGUCAACA